rnacentral:tRNA from 1 species
UUCGGUGGCUUAGUUGGUUAAAGCGCCGGUCUAGCGAAUACGGAGUCGUGGGUUCAAAUCCCAUCAGAA